rnacentral:rRNA from 1 species
GAUGAACGCUGGCGGCGUGCUUAACACAUGCAAGUCGAACGAUGAAGCCCAGCUUGCUGGGUGGAUGAGUAGCGAACUGGUGAGUAACACGGUAGUAACCUGCCCUUAACUCUGGGAUAAGCCGGGAAAACUGGGUCUAAUACCGGAUAGGAGCGUCCACCGCAUGGUGGGUGUUGGAAAGAUGUAUCGGUUUUGGAUGGACUCGCGGCCUAUCAGCUUGUUGGUGAGGUAAUGGCUCACCAGGGCGACGACGGGUAGCCGGCCUGAGAGGGUGACCGGCCACACUGGGACUGCGACACGGCCCAGACUCCUACGGGAGGCAGCAGUGGGGAAUAUUGCACAAUGGGCGCAAGCCUGAUGCAGCGACGCCGCGUGAGGGAUGACGGCCUUCGGGUUGUAAACCUCUUUCAGUAGGGAAGAAGCGAAAGUGACGGUACCUGAAGAAGAAGCACCGGCUAACUACGUG